GGAUAUGCUACUCUGACGGGACAGAGCUCACCCUUCUCAUCUUUACUCCGGGUAAAUUCACUUUAUCUACCAGGACUCCUUUCCUCAGUGACUACGAUAGAGGACAAACAUCUGGACCAUUCCAUGUUGAGAAGUAGAGAAGCUUAACAACUUCGCUAAGAUGAUUGGACCAAGCACUGAUCAAACCCGGG
rnacentral:lncRNA from 1 species